rnacentral:rRNA from 1 species
CGUAGGGGGCUAGCGUUGUCCGGAAUCAUUGGGCGUAAAGCGCGUGUAGGCGGUCCGGUAAGUCCGCUGUGAAAGUCGGGGGCUCAACCCUCGGAUGCCGGUGGAUACUGUCGGGCUCGAGUACGGAAGAGGCGAGUGGAAUUCCUGGUGUAGCGGUGAAAUGCGCAGAUAUCAGGAGGAACACCAAUUGCGAAGGCAGCUCGCUGGGACGUCACUGACGCUGAGACGCGAAAGCGUGGGGAGCAAACAGGAUUAGAUACCCUGGUAGUCCACGCUGUAAACGAUGGGCACUAGGUGUGGGGGGUGUCGACUCCCUCCGUGCCGAAGCUAACGCAUUAAGUGCCCCGCCUGGGGAGUACGGCCGCAAGGCUA